rnacentral:rRNA from 1 species
GACAGAGGGUGCGAACGUUGUUCGGAAUUACUGGGCGUAAAGCGCGUGUAGGCGGCAGCGCAAGUCGGGCGUGAAAUCCCACGGCUCAACCGUGGAAGUGCACUCGAAACUGCGCAGCUAGAGUCCUGGAGAGGAAGGUGGAAUGCUUGGUGUAGGGGUGAAAUUCGUAGAUAUCAAGCGGAACACCGGUGGCGAAGGCGGCCUUCUGGACAGUGACUGACGCUGAGACGCGAAAGCGUGGGGAGCAAACAGG